rnacentral:rRNA from 1 species
GAGGGGUGCUAGCGUUAUUCGGAAUUACUGGGCGUAAAGGGUGCGUAGACGGCUUGCUAAGUCUGUCGUUAAAUUCUUCGGCUUAACCGAAGGUCAGCGGUGGAAACUAGUAGGCUAGAGGGUGAGAGAGAGAAGUGGAAUUCCCGGAGUAGCGGUAAAAUGCGUAGAUCUCGGGAGGAACACCAAUGGCGAAGGCAGCUUCUUGGCUCAUUCCUGACGUUGAGGCACGAAAGCGUGGGGAGCAAACAGGAUUAGAUACCCUGGUAGUCCACGCCGUAAACGAUAAUCACUAGACGUUAGUUCAGCUUUGCUGAAUUAGUGUCGUAGCUAACGCGUUAAGUGAUUCGCCUGGGGGAGUACGGCCGCAAGAUUA